rnacentral:rRNA from 1 species
GAUGAACGCUAGCUACAGGCUUAACACAUGCAAGUCGAGGGGUGACGAGAGGGAAGCUUGCUUUCCUUGUCGACGACCGGCGCACGGGGGAGUAACGCGUAUCCAACCUGCCCCCAACUAGGGAAUAACCUUGCGAAAGUAAGACUAAUACCCUAUAAUUUCCUCAGAUUUCAUCUGACGAGGAAUAAAGAUUUAUCGGUUGUGGAUGGGGAUGCGUCUGAUUAGCUUGUUGGCGGGGUAACGGCCCACCAAGGCAACGAGCAGUAGGGGUUCUGAGAGGAAGGUCCCCCACAUUGGAACUGAGGCACGGUCCAAACUCCUACGGGAGGCAGCAGUGAGGAAUAUUGGUCAAUGGGCGGAAGCCUGAACCAGCCAAGUAGCGUGCAGGAUGACGGCACUAUGGGUUGUAAACUGCUUUUAUACAGGAAUAAAGUUAGCCACGUGUGGUUAUUUGUAGGUACUGUAUGAAUAAGGACCGGCUAAUUCCGUGCCAGCAGCCGCCGUAA